UGGCAGGAUGGGGGAUGUGUGGGAGCUUCCUUGUCCAUGUAGAAAGGAUGCAGGGUGAAGACAACACAUGCGAGCAAUGUGAAAGAGGUCAAGGCUUCCUGCUGUCUGGCUGCUAGCAUAAACAUUCAACAUAGCGCAUGAGGAAACGUGGCGGAACAGAAGAGGUCUGACAUCAAUCUAGAAGUCCCCGCUGUAGCCGUUUGGCCGACUAGUGAUUCAGCGCAGGCCGAUUGUUUGCGAGGAGGCGGCAAAGCGGCUCAUUUCCAUACAAAUUGCGGCGGUGUGAAGCCAAGGACGCGUACGAGGAUUUGGAGCUCUGAUGACCAAGCCCGUGGCUGACUUGAGCGCUCUUCUCAUCCACGCUUCCCUCAGCACCUCCAAGCUAGCCGAGCUUCCCUGGAU